AAUUAUUAUGCAAAUAUAAGUAUGGUUUGAUCCAAAUGGUGGAACUAAAUUUGGUGAAACUUUUGUUUUAUGAAAAAACUUCAAAUAUCAUCCUUGUAGCUUCGCAUUUUUUUAUUUUAGUAUUCUGUGGUUUAAAUUGUAUUAAUUUAGUAUUUCGGGAUUUUAUUUUUCUUUUUUUAUUAUUUCCUUCGUUAAUUUUUUUCGUUAAAUCAAUAACAAAGUUAAAACUAAAAGAUACUAAAGUGAAUAUUCGAUAAAUCUAAGUGGAGUAUCUGAAGUUUUUUGUACAUAAUUUAAUAAAAUAUUUACAGGAAAGUUGACGAAAAGAAAAAAAAUGAAAUCACGGGAUACUAAAUUGAUACGUUUUAAAUAAAAAAGUACUAAAGUGAGAACAUACGAAACUCCAUGGGUGAUAUUUGAAGUUUACCCUUGUUUUAUUUGUGAAUUGAAGA
rnacentral:lncRNA from 1 species